rnacentral:lncRNA from 1 species
CUCUGUGUGGGCUGCGAGCUCAGGUGGCACUUGGCAGAAGCACAGGCUGUGAGCACAGCGUGGAGAGAUGCUGCUAUGGACAUGUAUCUAUUGCAAGGAGAAGUACAUGGGCUGGCUUUUGUUGUGCAGAGGAGAGAUGGAAGGGAUAUGCAUGCAAACAGACCUGGUAUAAUUCCCCUUUUCCUUCCUGUUCACCAGGUGCUCCCAGAGGUGCCCAUCAUGAGAUCUCCUUGCGACAGAGAGAGGAGACUGAUCACCAUUUUCAUGCGCAACAAGAAGAACCACAGAAUACAAGUAAAGGAAGGGCAAGACUUACCUGCAAAUACAAACAAUGCAUAGCUCCUGCAUGGCACUUUUUCCAUUUGGGUGUCCAGUGGCUUUAAGAGCAAGGUCAUGGUCUGUAAGAUCUUGGGGUAAUGGCUCGUCCAUGACAAAUACCAGUGGCAGAGACACAAGGGGGCCAUCUCAGGACCACUAAGCAGGAGAAGGCAGAAUUGGGGAUCCUGUAAAAAAUGCUGUGCAGUUCAUUGUACAUGCAAACUGGCAGCCCCCACAGAGCAAUGCAGUCUCACCACAGGCAUCUCAGCUCACCAGUCUGAACAAUUUCCAAAGGAAAACCAUUCCAGAAGCUUGCUACUCCUCAUUUUUUCUCUUCCCUUGUUUUUCCUAUUUGUCUGCUCCAUUGCCAUUUCUGCAAACACUGAAAGCACCAAGCAUAUUCCUGAAAGGAAUAUGUAGGCAGAUGUAAGACAAAGCAACACACUGCUAAUUGUAGGGCAUGAAAGGUAUGCAGCACUUGCCAGGACAGAACUAAUUUUUGUCUGUACAGCUGCAGUUUUUAUCAGAGCAGAUAAGCAGUUUACAGCAAGUAAAACACUAUUUUCUUACUCUCUGCAUGGGAGUCUGCUAUAGCAGGAUGGCUCUGCAAGCAUUUGGGAAGGCAAUGCCAGAGAAAUGAGCUAAAGCAUAGCAGUGUCAUACAAACACAUCUUUAACCUGGGUGCUCAGAGGGUGCUCAGUACACCAUGCUACACCAUGGUAGGAGAGGGGAUGGUCACAUCUCCAGCAGGAGAAAUCCCUGCUCCUGAGGAAG